CCCACCCCACUUCCGUGAGUGACCACAGAUUAACCCCUCCUCCUUCAUAGAGACCCGGCCCCCUUCCAGGAGCAAGAGUGGUCUAGCGUCGCUCCAAGGUAGAUUGGAUUCCAACAGAGGGAAAGUGACACCCUAUUCCAAAUGAUGGCCCUACUGGACAGCAGGGAAGUCUAAGCUACACUGUCAGCUUCAUCUGAGUUAACCAGCAUCUGAAUGGGACUUUUCAAUCCUGUUAAGGUGGAGAAUGUCUGACAAUCCCAUUAGAAGACCCCAGCUUACAGAUAAAGUUAACUGAUGGAAGAUUAUAUUGCUGGUUUCACUGGGAGUCUCCUAUAGACUUCCUCGGCUCAGAGACAACCAUGCUACAGCAAGUGUAAUAGGACAGGAGGAGGGAAAGAGAUGGACAAUGGAACUUCAAAGCACAAUAGCAACCCCUGAAAAAUGCUUCAUUACGGUGGAAGGCAGUACUCGGGAAGGAGAAGGAAUGGAGACUUAAAAGAUCAAACCACAACCACCACAUUCUUUUGAAGAGCUACCCUAUUUACAGAGAAGUGUAAAUCUAAAACAUAAGGAAAUAUUUGUUCGCCAUCUUUAACUUUUGAUUUAAACAGCAGGAUAGGAGAUUAAGGUGUAAUACAAAGAUCUGUGCACAUGCAUAUAAACAAACAGGUUUAAAAAUAGGUCUCUUUCUCUAAACGGAACAGAGUAAGGGAUGUUUUCCUAAUAGCUUUUCAAAAUGGGGUCCCCAUCAAGUAUCAAACUACAAGCUAUGAUACUCCACACAAAUGUACCAUGAAACCAAUGAGACACCUGAGAUACAUGGAUAAUAUUUUUGUGCUCUGGACAGAUGACAAACUCCCUCAAAUUUCCACCACAACUUCAACCACUACCACCCACCCAUUAAACUCUCUCUGGAACACUCCCAUGCUAGCAUCAAGUUGGACAACACAAUGAGCUUCAACAAUGGAACCAUACAGACAGCUAUAUACAAGAAACCCUCAGACCACCAGAUGUACCUUCAUAGAUCCAGUAACCAACCCAAACAUACCAAGAAAUCUGUUAUCUACACCCAGGCACUCAGAUACCACAGAAUAUGCUUUGAGGAGAAAGUCCGGGGAAUAUAUCUUAAUACACUCAAAGCCACCUUUACCAAACAAGGACACUCCACUGAAAUACCCCAAGACAACCUGCUUCAAUUCAGAAAUAAAACCCCCUCCAAAUGCACACCUGUAGCUGUCAUCUUCCACCCCACACUUGAAUCCAUACAGGGAAAUCAAACAGAUCAAAUAUAUGAUGGGAAUCCCAUCCUGGGGGGAAAAAAAAAAACAACAAAAACAAAAACAAACCACCCCACACUUUCCUAAACCUCCUCUUCUGGCCUUCAAACAAUGCCCCAACCUCAUCAGACGCAAGCUCCCACAGACCAGGACACAUCAUCUCAAAGCUGCACCAGGCCCUGCCAGAACAGAAACAAAACCUGCAGACAUCUUCACUGCUACAAUAAUCAACACCACCCCCAACACAUCUUUCAAGAUCCAUGGGUCCUAAACAUGCCUAUCACAACAUGGCACACCUCAUCUAGUGAACUAAAUGCCCCAACAACAACUAUUUGGGUGAAACCAAACAAUCACUGUGAUCUCAAAUGAACUAUCACAAGAAAUGAUAAAAGACAAAAAACCUGUGGGUGAACAAUUCACAAAUUGAUCAUCCUAUAAGUCCUCAUCCUGAAUGGAAAGCCUGCAUAACACUUUCAAAAAACAAGCCUGGGAGCUUAAAUUCAUAACUUUGCUAGACACUAUGGUCUUAAGACAGCAGAUGUAUGGCUUCUUACGAUAACCUGUAACCAGUUACCCCUUCUUUUUGUCCUAUGACUACAGGGGUGUUAA